AUUGAACGCUGGCGGCAGGCCUAACACAUGCAAGUCGAGCGAGAAAGGUCUUCGGACUGAGUACAGCGGCGGACGGGUGAGUAAUGCGCAGGAAUCUACCUGGUAGUGGGGGAUAACUCGGGGAAACUCGAACUAAUACCGCAUACGCCCUACGGGGAAAGCGGGGACCGUUCGGGCCUCGCGCUAUCAGAUGAGCCUGCGUAGGAUUAGCUUGUUGGUGAGGUAAAGGCUCACCAAGGCGACGAUCCUUAGCUGGUCUGAGAGGAUGAUCAGCCACACUGGAACUGAGACACGGUCCAGACUCCUACGGGAGGCAGCAGUGGGGAAUAUUGCGCAAUGGGCGAAAGCCUGACGCAGCCAUGCCGCGUGUGUGAAGAAGGCCCUUGGGUUGUAAAGCACUUUCAAUUGGGAAGAAAGGUUGCGUGUUAAUAGCACGUAGCUGUGACGUUACCUUUAGAAGAAGCACCGGCUAACUCCGUGCCAGCAG
rnacentral:rRNA from 1 species